UGAAGGGUUUGAUCCUGGCUCAGAAUGAACGUUGGCGGCGUGGAUUAGGCAUGCAAGUCGCGCGACAAGGUUUCUUUAGCUUGCUAUUGAAACCGGAGGAGCGGCGAAAGGGAGAGUAACGCGUGGAUACCUGCCCUUGGCUCCGGGAUAGCGUCGGGAAACUGGCGGUAAUACCGGAUAAUAUCCCCGGAUCAAAGGUGUGAUUCCGGCCGAGGAUGGGUCCGCGUCCUAUUAGGUUGUUGGUGAGGUAAUGGCUCACCAAGCCAAAGAUGGGUACCGGGUGUGAGAGCAUGGCCCGGCUCACUGGGACUGAGACACUGCCCAGACACCUACGGGUGGCUGCAGUCGAGAAUCUUCCGCAAUGGGCGCAAGCCUGACGGAGCGACGCCGCGUGCGGGAUGAAGGCCUUCGGGUUGUAAACCGCUGUCAGUAGGGAGCAAAUGCAUCAGGGCAAUCUCUGGUGUUUGAGCAAUCUGCAGAGGAAGUCCGGGCUAAGUACGUGCCAGCAGCCGCGGUAACACGUACCGGACGAACGUUAUUCGGAAUCACUGGGCUUAAAGAGUCCGUAGGCGGCUCGGUAGGUGAGGUGUGAAAUCCCACGGCUCAACCGUGGAACUGCGCUUCAAACCACCGGGCUUGAGGGAGAUAGAGGUGAGCGGAACUGAUGGUGGAGCGGUGAAAUGCGUUGAUAUCAUCAGGAACACCGGUGGCGAAAGCGGCUCACUGGGUCUCUUCUGACGCUGAGGGACGAAAGCUAGGGGAGC
rnacentral:rRNA from 1 species